rnacentral:piRNA from 1 species
UAAGCAGGUGCAUGUAAGUGCACAGCUGUGC